UCAUUUCUUUUCUUCAAGUUUUCUACAAGCUUCCAUAUUUUCUUCACUUCUCCAUUAAAGUUUCAAGUCUUUUAGUUGCAAAUCUCUCAAGUGUCUUAUAUUUCUCCCUUUAUUAAGGAUAUUAGGAGGAUAAGGGUCAAUUGGAGAUAAGGAGGAGGAAAUUUGCAAAGGAGUGUGGUUUCUUGACAUAAGGUAAUGGUUAAAGCGGUAACGGCGAGUGGCGGUCAAGGAGGCUUGGGGCAUGCAUGUUUUUGUUCUAGCUAAACUUAUGAUGUUAUAUAAAGGAUGUUGCUUUUGAAUUUAAUGUAUAUAGUUUAAUGUUUAUAAUCUAAGUUUUAUG